UACGUAGGUGGCAAGCGUUGUCCGGAUUUACUGGGCGUAAAGAGCGCGCAGGCGGUCGUCCAAGUCGCGUGUGAAAGCCCCCGGCUCAACUGGGGAGGGUCACGCGAUACUGGUCGACUCGAAGGCAGGAGAGGGUAGUGGAAUUCCCGGUGUAGUGGUGAAAUGCGUAGAUAGUCGGGAGGAACACCAGUGGCGAAGGCGGCAUCCUGGACCGGCAUUGACGCUGAACGGCGAAAGCUAGGGGAGCAAACGGG
rnacentral:rRNA from 1 species